rnacentral:rRNA from 1 species
AAUGGGUCAGCGACUUAUAUUCUGUAGCAAGGUUAACCGAAUAGGGGAGCCGAAGGGAAACCGAGUCUUAACUGGGCGUUAAGUUGCAGGGUAUAGACCCGAAACCCGGUGAUCUAGCCAUGGGCAGGUUGAAGGUUGGGUAACACUAACUGGAGGACCGAACCGACUAAUGUUGAAAAAUUAGCGGAUGACUUGUGGCUGGGGGUGAAAGGCCAAUCAAACCGGGAGAUAGCUGGUUCUCCCCGAAAGCUAUUUAGGUAGCGCCUCGUGAAUUCAUCUCCGGGGGUAGAGCACUGUUUCGGCAAGGGGGUCAUCCCGACUUACCAACCCGAUGCAAACUGCGAAUACCGGAGAAUGUUAUCACGGGAGACACACGGCGGGUGCUAACGUCCGUCGUGAAGAGGGAAACAACCCAGACCGCCAGCUAAGGUCCCAAAGUCAUGGUUAAGUGGGAAACGAUGUGGGAAGGCCCAGACAGCCAGGAUGUUGGCUUAGAAGCAGCCAUCAUUUAAAGAAAGCGUAAUAGCUCACUGGUCGAGUCGGCCUGCGCGGAAGAUGUAACGGGGCUAAACCAUGCACCGAAGCUGCGGCAGCGACGCUUAUGCGUUGUUGGGUAGGGGAGCGUUCUGUAAGCCUGUGAAGGUGUGCUGUGAGGCAUGCUGGAGGUAUCAGAAGUGCGAAUGCUGACAUAAGUAACGAUAAAGCGGGUGAAAAGCCCGCUCGCCGGAAGACCAAGGGUUCCUGUCCAACGUUAAUCGGGGCAGGGUGAGUCGACCCCUAAGGCGAGGCCGAAAGGCGUAGUCGAUGGGAAACAGGUUAAUAUUCCUGUACUUGGUGUUACUGCGAAGGGGGGACGGAGAAGGCUAUGUUGGCCGGGCGACGGUUGUCCCGGUUUAAGCGUGUAGGCUGGUUUUCCAGGCAAAUCCGGAAAAUCAAGGCUGAGGCGUGAUGACGAGGCACUACGGUGCUGAAGCAACAAAUGCCCUGCUUCCAGGAAAAGCCUCUAAGCAUCAGGUAACAUCAAAUCGUACCCCAAACCGACACAGGUGGUCAGGUAGAGAAUACCAAGGCGCUUGAGAGAACUCGGGUGAAGGAACUAGGCAAAAUGGUGCCGUAACUUCGGGAGAA